UCCCUCCCCCAACAAACAUGCGACAGACCAGCAGCACAACAAACACACUUUCUGGACUCUCUACUGGAAAUAUGAGCUCAUAAAUACCUUUCCUGGAGCUGUGAAUCUGCCUGGAUGUGGAGGAGCGUCAGCUGUUGAGCGCAGGUCAAAGAUCUGCAGCAGAAACACAACAGACACACGUGUGUAUCUUCACUGCAGCAGAGGAGAGAGAGAGAGAGAGAGAGAGAGAGCAAUGACUGAACACAAACACUACUACAACAUCACUACAAACUAAACCAACGAAACAAAGUCCCUUACAGCAGUAAAAAGCAGCAGCAGUGCUUGGAUUUGAACCCAGAAAGUCCCUCCCCCAACAAACAUGCUACAGACCAGCAGCAAAACAAACACACUUUCUGGACUCUCUACUGGAAAUAUGAGCUCAUAAAUACCUUUCCUGGAGCUGUGAAUCUGCCUGGAUGUGGAGGAGCGUCAGCUGUUGAGGGCAGGUCAAAGAUCUGCAGCAGAAACACAACAGACACACGUGUGUAUCUUCACUGCUGCAGAGGAGAGAGAGAGAGAGAGCAAUGACUGAACACAAACACUACAACAACAUCACUACAAACUAAACCAACGAAACAAAGUCCCUUACAGCAGUAAAAAGCAGCAGCAGUGCUUGGAUUUGAACCCAGAAAGUCCCUCCCCCAACAAACAUGCUACAGACCAGCAGCAAAACAAACACACUUUCUGGACUCUCUACUGGAAAUAUGAGCUCAUAAAUACCUUUCCUGGAGCUGUGAAUCCGCCUGGAUGUGGAGGAGCGUCAGCUGUUGAGCGCAGGUCAAAGAUCUGCAGCAGAAACACAACAGACACACGUGUGUAUCUUCACUGCUGCAGAGGAGAGAGAGAGAGAGCAAUGACUGAACACAAACACUACAACAACAUCACUACAAACUAAACCAACGAAACAAAGUCCCUUACAGGAUCAGUGAAGUGUUGUGGACUGUAAGCCUGUUGAACAGAAGCAGAGACGCGUGAACAGACGCUGACUGUACUGAUGAUGAUCAUCUGCUGCUGCACAGGCUGUAAAGUAUAACCCCUGCUGGACAUGUCUCCGGAAGCUCCAGGGGGAGACCGAACUGGUAUCCCCCCUUCUUCAGGCGCGCCUCACACUCACUCACCAUUCACUCAUAUCGCAGAGUUCUGGCCGGGAUCGAACCAGCAACCCCUGAAGCCAUGGGGCAGCGCUCUUACCACAGAGCCACAGAUCUCCUGACUGAAUACUUGCUGGAACUGAAGUUAGACUUCUGACCUGUGUGUGAGCUGUUUUAAUAAAACAAAAUACGAGUCAGAUUUGAUCCCCCCUGUCUUUAUGAGUCUCUUCCUCAGAGAACUUGUGUUUAUUCACUCACCCAUC